rnacentral:lncRNA from 1 species
UUGAAUGUACAUUAUGCUAUGAAGUCAGCAAGGGCUUGAGAUUUUAUAGCUGUCCAAGGUCGAUACUCUAAGCAGUAAGGGCUAAUCUCUACGGACCAAGCCAGCAUUCGGCCUGAGGUUUCCGGCCUGUGUAGAAUCUUUUUCAGGGGUUGGUCCGUCAUUACUAUUCCCUGGUGGCCUUCCAGAUAAACUUUGAAUUUCCGAACUGCUAGUAGUAGAGCGUAGGCCAUUUUCUCAAUGUUCGAAUAUCUGAC